UAGGUGGGGGGGGCGCGUCCUCAGCUGUAUGGUAAUGAGUUUCUGGUCCCGCCUCCAGCGCGUCCCCUCACCUGGGUCCCGCUUCAGUUCCUGCACCCACUGCCUCCCCCCACCUCAACAGCACCAAGCCCCCGGCCGCGCCCUGUCGCUCCGCUGGGGUAAGGAGGAACUCUCUUGAUGCCAGAGUUGGCUCAGGCCACUGGAGAAUCGAGCCUCUGAUCUCUGAUCCCAGCUGCCACCCAAGACUUGAAGCAAGCCUGAGGUAGGGAUGGGGCCACACCUCGCUCUCUCCCGCUGGGGCAACCUGGGAGUGGGGCAUAUUCAGAUUGGCCCCGCUCCCCUGCAGAUUCCCGGGAAAGAAGGGAGAAGAAACGGAGGUUCCAAGGGCUUGAUUAGCCUGACGGAUGGUAAUGGCAGAGCUGAGACUUGCACUUGCCCUUUCCAGAAUACGCCCUUGUUCCUCAGUUCAACUCAUUUUGGCUGGAGAUGGAAAACACGUAUAAUGAAGGACCCAGGAUGGUGCCCAGCUCACCAGUGUGGGAACACUGUCAACCAAGGCUGAAUCUCAUACACAGGGACAGGAUCCAGGAUGGAGCCUCCUGUCAGCUACCAAUUUCUCUUCUGCGAUUCAGCAGCUGUAAAGUCAGGAGGUGGGAUCAGCAGCACUGUAGCUUUCAAACUGGGUUACUGGGCAUCCUGGCAUCUUAUAAAUAUUGCGAUAACGGGCCAGGCACAGUGGCUCACGCCUGUAAUCCCAACAGUCUGGGAGGCUGAGGUGGGAAGACUGCUUGAAGCCAGGAGUUCAAGACCCACCUGGGCAACCUAGCAAGACCCCCCAUCACUACAAAAAAUAAAAAUAAAAAAUUAGCCAGGCAUGGUAACUGUAGUCCCUGCUACUCGGGAGCCUGGGGUGGGAGGAUCGCUUGAGCCCAGGAAUUCAAGGCUGCAGUGAGCUAUGAUCACACCACUGCACUUCAGCCUAGGCAACAGAGCAAGGCCUUAUUUCUAUUUAAAGAGAGAGAGAGAUUGAGAUAGGAGAGAAGAGGCUGGGUGAACAGGGGUGUGGGUCACUCCAGCCCAGAUUCUGUUGGAGAAUCUCAGCAUAUCAAUUUCAAGUACUGGACAUUCAUGAAAGUUUUUAUUUGAACAAGGCUUCCACAGUACUCUACAGUCUACCUGAAGUCUCUGCAGCUCUGGCCUCCUGGGAGUUGUGAACAGUUUAGGUCCUAGCCUGAGAAGAGAAACCAGAGGAUCUGGUGAUGGAAAUGGGGUUCACCUUCCAGCCCUGUGGAGAUGCCAGGAGGGAGCAGGUGGAGGUCAGGGCUGGGAGAUCAUGGCACAGAGGGAAGGUGAGCUGUAGGCACCUGCCUCUGCACCUGGCAAACACAGACCUUUGGCCAUAGCAGCCUGGUAACCAGGAGCAGCAGCCAGCUUCCUGGAGGCCAGACCAGUGCCCCUUUUCCUUUUCUCUGUCCAAGCCUAUUCUCUGUGGACACGGGUUGCUGGCCACCAAACUAGGGCCGUGCAACCUCUCCUGACCUCACGGUGUGGUUUCUGACUGCUCAGUAAGGGCUAGUUCAAGGUGAAUGCUGAGCCAUGGCAAAGCUGCUCAGAGGAAUUACCAGGCAUUCGGAGAGUGGGGCUGAUCCCCUUGAAAUGACAACCCUAUUUUGCACCCCUUUUAUUGGCCAUCCUAGACCAAAGUUUGCCCCUCUGCCUCAGAUUUCCUUGUGGGAAUCCAGGUGUGAGAAUGGUGGCCCUCUCCUGGUGGCUUCAAGCAUGCAUGGCUCCCUGAAUAUCAUCUCCCCGCUCCAGGUGGAGGAGAAAGCUGAGGGCUCCAGCUGCCCAAGCCCCAGAACUUUCUAGCAUCCUCCUAUCCCACUGCCCACUCCAGGCCUGCCUCUAACCACCAUUCACCCUCGACCUGCCGCUGGGCCCAGCCUCACCCCACGUAAGCAAAGCUGCCAGCAGGGUCCUUUGUGGUGCUGCUCCCGUGUGGCACUGCCUAGGGGCCCCAUCAUGGGGCAACAGAUGGACCUAUGGUCUCUCCAGAACAAUGGUGGGGGAGGGGCCCUGGCAUCGCCCGCCCCAAACAGGAAGCGCUGCAUGAGCUUCAAAGGACUGGCAGGGCCAAGGGGCUGAGUGGGGGAGCCAGUGCCAGGGCUGGCGGCUGCCUGAAGAGAUGCCUGCCAGCCUCGGGAUGCCCAGCCUGGUGGCGGAGGUGGAGCUUUCGGUGGCCAGGGUAGCUGGCUCUCGAGCAGAAGAUGUCUGGCACCCUGAGGACAGCAGCCUGUAACCUGGGAGCAGGUUAAGGAAAGGGGGCAUGGACCUUACUGUUUCCCGCUUCAGCUGCCACCCGCCAGCGGGGCUGCAGGUUCUUUCCCAGGCUGUGGUUGGCCUGGCCCUCCGGCAAGUAAGCAUGAGGGGCAGGGCUGGCACCAAGCCCGCCGCCCACUCCCUGCCUCCUGCUCCCAGCUGCUGCGCUCAGAGCCUUUUCCUCUCCACUUCCUGUUCA